UACAGAGGGGGCAAGCGUUGUUCGGAAUUACUGGGCGUAAAGGGCGCGUAGGCGGCCUGUUAAGUCGAACGUGAAAUCCCCGGGCUCAACCCGGGAACUGCGUCCGAUACUGGCAGGCUUGAAUCCGGGAGAGGGAUGUGGAAUUCCAGGUGUAGCGGUGAAAUGCGUAGAUAUCUGGGAGAACACCGGUGGCGAAGGCGACAUCCUGGACCGGUAUUGACGCUGAGGCGCGAAAGCCAGGGGAGCAAACGGGG
rnacentral:rRNA from 1 species